rnacentral:rRNA from 1 species
GGUUCAUUCAAAUUUCUUCCCUAUCAACUUUCGAUGUUUGGGUAUUGGCCAAACAUGGUUGCAACGGGUAACGGAGGGUUAGGGCUCGACCCCGGAGAAGGAGCCUGAGAAACGGCUACUACAUCCAAGGAAGGCAGCAGGCGCGCAAAUUAUCCAAUCCCGACCGGGGAGGUAGUGACAAUAAAUACUGAUACAGGGCUCUUUUGGGUCUUGUAAUUGGAAUGAGUACAAUUUAAAUCCCUUAACGAGGAACAAUUGGAGGGCAAGUCUGGUGCCAGCAGCCGCGGUAAUUCCAGCUCCAAUAGCGUAUAUUAAAGUUGUUGUGGUUAAAAAGCUCGUAGUUG